UACGUAGGGGGCGAGCGUUGUCCGAAGUUACUGGGCGUAAAGCGCGCGUAGGCGGGGGGUUAAGUGAGAGGUGAAAGGCUGGGGCUCAACCUCAUGCAGUGCCUCUCAUACUGGCCUUCUUGAGGGCGGUAGGGAGAAGUGGAAUGGCUGGUGUAGCGGUGAAAUGCGUAGAUAUCAGUCGGAACACCGGUGGCGAAGGCGGCUUCUUGGGCCGUUCCUGACGCUGAGGCGGCGAAAGCUGGGGGAGCGAACGGG
rnacentral:rRNA from 1 species